rnacentral:lncRNA from 1 species
AACUGACAUAGAUCUAAGCCGCCGCUGACCGGACCUGUGGCCGAGCCACUCCACCGCCGACCACGCUCCUCUGCAGAAUGCUCCAUUGCUACAACUGUACUCCGUGAUCUUCCUCUCCCAAGAAGGACUUGUCACCCCAGCAGCGAACGGGGCCGCCUCCUCCACGUUCUCUCCCCCAUGCAGCGGGAAGUCCGUCCCCUCCCGCGAGAAGCUCUGCCUCCUCAACAUCCUCUCCUGAUGGUAGACUUCUGCCCUGAUUUUUUUUUGUUACUGAUGUUUACCCUGAACUUGUUUAUGAUGGUAGCUCUCCCACGUUUUGUCUUACUAUCGUUAUAAUCUUUGAUUUAUUUACAGUGCAUUUUUUAAGGCGAUGUUACAAUUAGGAAUUCCUUUCCAGCCUACUGAUCGAACAGGUCCAGUUUACCUCUCAAGAAAUUUGGCAACUAGUUGAAGCGUAGUAUCUUGAUAAUCAACUAAAAUUGUCCACUAGGAUGACUUUUUCUCACCAUUUAAAAUUGAUAAUCAACUAGCAAUUUACAACUAGAAUCGAAGCAAUGCUACUUUUACUCACUCCUUAAAAAAAUGUUACUUGUACUGAAUUUAUCGGGUAUUAUACUGUGUAUAAAUAAGCGUAGUAUCUUGCGGAUUGUUAUGUAGAUGGUUUGAAAACUUCUUUCUGGGUAAUUUAGAAAAGUCAAAGCACUGAACGGCAUGUCAUAGAUGAUUAUAGCGGGCUUUUAGAUCCAAGGACAAUGACAAUUGGUGAUUAACAAGUGCAUACCUUAGAGUUGUUAACACCUGGCUAAGUUUUUUAGUUGACCUUCAGAGCUCAUUUUAAUUUGAGAUGAAACAAAACUAGUUAUUUUAAGCCUUCAGCCCACUUGCUCUGUCCACCUAGCUAAAUUGUUUGAUGCCUCAAAGUAGUAGCUUGUUUUUUUUUGUGAAAUCUGAUUUGUGGACAGAACAAAUGUUAUUUUUUAUUAUAUAGAUAACUAUAUUCUCAUGGAUGAUGUAGCACAUGGCCAUGCAAAGCUUCUGUUCUUAAGAUUAAAUUUACCUAUCAUGGUUGAUUGCUUAACAAUAUGCUUCUAUGUGUGCAGCUGUAAGUUGAUAAGUCUGGCAAAAGAAGCAACGCGACCACAAGCAAGCUGAGGAGGUAAUAUUCAUAUUUCUCUUGGCUAUUGCUAAGUGAUACUAUUUCUAUGUUUUUGCUGUGUUUAUUUGUUCCAUUUGAUUUGUCUCCUAUAUGCAUAUUAUUUAGGAUGUAACUUUUUUACCUUCAAUUGUUUGUUGUACAGUCCCCUGGUUCUUUAGUUUUGAUAUAAUUUGUACUAUCUUAUAAUGGUUCAUUUGAACUGUAGUGAAGUAGAUAGGUGCUCGCAUGUUAGUCGCCUUUGAUGACAUUUUGACUUGGUCUUUCCUCUACUUCAAGUACCUCUACUUUGAGCACGUUGCUCAAUCCAAGGCAAGUUCUUUAUCCAAUUUUCUCCUUACAAAUAAUGUCUAAUAUUUUGAACAAUUACACUGUGUUAUCUGUUAUGUGCAUGUGGGGGAGAGGAUGUGUACGGAUCUGACGAGCAGCAAGAUUACAGGGGUGGAUAUAUGUCUGCAGUAGAGUUCCUAUUUGAGCCUAAUGCACUAUGAUGCGGUGGCUAGUACUCUGGUCUGAGUCAUGUUCAGGUCAUAUGCAUCUCCUUUAUUCUUUACUUCACUGUUGUGUUGUCUGGUUCAAUUUGAAGCUUGUUCUUCCCCAAUGAAUUUCUAGAGAGUUCAUCUGCCUUGAUCUGCCCGGUCCGGCUGCCGGUUGCCACAUGGGAGGCCAGACGCCCCCGUCCCCUCGAGUUCUGGUCGCGCCCCCUCGAGCAUAUCUGUGCCCCCUUGAUCUGGCCCAUGUAGCCGAUCCUCAGCGGCGCCAAAAUAUUGUAGCGUGCCCAUCUGUUCAAGCGAAGGACAACUAGCUAGCCAAGCAGUCAGUAUUGGUGCAAUUUGCUGAUGGCCCGCUGCUUGCACGCGUCGCUCUAAGGCCCUCGUGAAAUCAAACAAAAAAAAACGCAUCAUUCAGUCUCAGGGUGGAGCAAAAGAAAAACCCGCAUCGCUCAGCCAUUUUUGCUACCGAUUAACUCAUGUAUAAACAGAUAAUCCUACAGUAGUAGGUAUAUAAACGGAUAAUCCGACAAUAGUGAGAACUGGACUGAAAGUUAUUGUAAUAUCUUAUAUUAGAAAAAAGUUUUAUGUUGGCUGUUAGAGUUACAGAGGACCAUUCCAUGAUUUAGAUUUAAUAUGCUACCGAUGGAAAAUAGUUGAACUGAUAGUGUUUUGCAUAUCUGAGCCACAUACAUUGUCCAAAAAAUAUAGGACAACAAGUCCAAAUUAUAAGUGACCCGGGGAGGAUAAAGUGACAUGGAUGACUGAUUAGAAGAUGCAAUGGCAGUGGGCGUGAUGGAUGAAAAAGAGCAGAGUGUUAGAAGAAAUAAUGAGGUGAUAAGGUCUCGAAAUGUUCAUUAUCUCAUGGAAGUUAUUAAUGUGCUAUGUAGCCAAAAGGUUAACAAACAUAUAUAUGUGCAUGUACUCUAGGUUGGCCAUUUGAAACAUGUUCAAGAACAUGUUAUUAGUUGGUAAUAAUUAUAGUUCAUUGUUUAUUAAUAAAUCUCAUUGCUGCAGUGUACUUUUGAUGAACUCUGAUAGUGAUUAUUGCCUGUCCACGUACAGAUAAUUUUAGGGCUUCAGAAUUUUGACAGAAGCAAUGUUGGAUCUGCUGUCACAGAUGUACAUACAGUGUGGUACAUUUUUUUCAUGCUCUAUUACUGUUUGGCUCUUCCACAUAUAUGAAAUAAUGUUGAAGUUCUGAUUUCGGUUGAUGGACGACAAGUGAAUGAUGUAAAUGAAACAUUCAUGGACAUGAGUUUCUUGAAACAUAUCUGAAUUGUAGUUUUGAGUUCUUCGCAUGUUACAUAGGGAAGUAGAAGAAAAAUUGGUUAUAUCAUGUGUUAGGGAUGUUCCCUAAAUUGGUCCAAGACUUCAUUUUCUUCAAGCAUGAAUAAGAAGAAACAAAUAAAAUGGCAAGUGGACAGACUGAUCCUGUGUUGCUGCUGAUGCUACUUCUUUUCCUGUCAUCAUCUUUGCUGACCCUCCUCUACACGCUAUGCUGAUGGUGGUGGUGCUGCUGCCGAGCUGCGCCUCCUCUUCUCAUAAGAGUCGUUCUUUUGCUGAUAGAUAGAAGCACUAGAUUGUGCCUUUAUUAGUCGCAUAUUUAUAUUUAGCAUGCAGAUGCACUUUGGACUAACCUGGAAUCUCACUUUACUUUUUUCAGCUCAACAUUAUAAAGAAAGCCUUGAACACAUCUCAUGAAGGCUUGACAAGAUCUUGAAGUGUUGGAGGUUUGGCAAGAUCUGCAAGGCGUCCAUACUUGGUUUUUUUCUACCCAUUUGGUGUUUGUUUCAGCACAUAAGCUGAUUUGGAUGUGUAGCACAUCUAGAAACAUGUCCAUUUUUUCUUUUGUGGCACAACAUCCUUAAUGCAUCCAGAAACAUGUAUUUGGUCGCUUAUCAAAUGAAGCUUAAGGUUUUGGAUGUGGCUAUUAUGUAACUUUGAUUGAAAAGUAAGUAUAUCUGAGCUGUGAUAUCUGUCCUAAUUGUCCAAACAUACUGAAUGUAUAUUAAAUUAGGGAUAA